rnacentral:sRNA from 1 species
GAAGGUGUAGCAAUACACUUGUAAAGCGGCGAACGGGUGAGGAAUACAUGGGUAAUCUACCAUCGAGUGGGGAAUAACCAGCCGAAAGGCUGGCUAAUACCGCGUACGCUUCCGGGUUUGCGGAUUCGGAAGGAAAGCCAUGCCGUGGGUAUGGCGCUCUUUGAUGAGCUCAUGUCCUAUCAGCUUGUUGGUAGGGUAACGGCCUACCAAGGCUGGGACGGGUAGCUGGUCUGAGAGGACGAUCAGCCACACUGGCACUGUGAUCACGGGCCAGACACCUACGGGAGGCAGCAUUGGGAUCUUGCUGUAAACUCGAG